rnacentral:lncRNA from 1 species
UUGUCGCCGCAUCUGGCGUGUCUUCCAAACGCUAAACCCCAAGCCGAUGUCAGGAGUCAAGCAAAAUGGUUUUACGACCAUUAGUGUUUAUGGUUUGGGAUGCGAUGAAUUAUAAAUCUGUAAGGAUCGUGGUGAGACGCGGGCAACUGCCCAUUUUAUACUUUCUUGGCUCUGCGAUAUCAGACGGGGAAAGGCUGGCGUUCAAUCCAACCGAGACGUCUGUGUCUCGGAUGCGGAAGCCCCGCAGGUGCCAUCCAUUCUGUCGACGCAGGUCAGAUUCCUAAAGGGUCCGCAAACUCUUUUAACGGCCACGGUCGGUUGCUCUUGGGUUCGGGACUUACCUGUCGCAUUUAGAUGACAAAGGGCCUUUUGCAGAAUACUCCAAGUUGUCGUUUUUCCUGUGAGACUCUUCCCCACGAGCAUGUUGCCGUGGCGAGUCUGCAUGGUGAGGAACAGCUGAGUCGCCUUCACGGCGAUGUGGUCGACCUUCUGCAGGCCGUCUGCCUCCAUCGCCCAGUCGAGUGCCCUCCUCAGCACCGGGUCGCUGUUGGGGAACUGCUCAAAACGCAUGCGAGAAGCCCCCGAAAGCAAAUGUCAAUUUCCCACGGCCUUUCAGGUUCCAUCAAAACAAACCAAAUCUGCCCUGGGGAGAAUAUUUCGAUCAAGAGACGACUGCUCACUGACAGGUUUUUGACAGGGCAAUAAACGAACACCGACCCAGCCAACGGUGGGAUCGAUGCCUUCUCAGAGCUCCUGAUGGCGUCUGAACGGCGUCUACCUGAGUCAAAUCCGUUUCUGGAAAGAGGUCAGACAUCAAGGCGUUGAAGAGGAAACUGUCGUCCGUCACAGUUCUGGACGCAUUCAUGUCCAAAAUCGCUCGAAUUAAUACAUCCUGUUCUGUCUGGUCGCCGCCGCUUCGCCGGAUUUGCCCGGCUCGACUCAACACGGCCCGAAUCGCUCGCAGCCCAAAGUCGUAGUGGUCUUGUUUGCUCAGUUGUUGCGUCAUCAGUUGAUAGAGAGUGAUGAUCUUCUUCGAAAGCACGCGAGCGUCCUGACAGGCACCGCUCGAGACAACAACGGAUAGCAGGCUAUAUUUCUGUCACUUCUCCAUACGAGACAAGAGGACGCCACAGAAGACGCGCGAUACACUCACAUGCAAAUGAAGCCUCAUCAGAAGUCGUAGGUCGGCGUGCACGCAUGUGUACAUUCGCAUAAAUGCACUCAUCAAUGCAUGUAUGUGGGUAUGGGAAGCGAGGCAUGUUUCAAUGAGUGUGAAGAGGAGUUACAUGACGCCACUCCUUUCUGAAUCAGCAUGACUGGGCUGAGCGCCCAACCCCGCCGCUUCCUCCACACGACAAAUUACAGCGUGAGCAUUGGAUCGACGCGAGUUCUUGAACUGAUCUGAAGGCGCUGCCUGAAACGCAUCCUGCGUCGGCAGUUUCUCCUUUGCUCUGAGACCUCGUUCCUCACCUCGAAGCCUUCGGCCAUGAGCGUGAUUUCGCAGAUCAUAACCAAAUCGGGAACCAUCAUGGCGACGGGGCGGAAGAGGCUCGUGAGGUUGUCUGGGAGUUCAGUUCGUCCGGCAUAUCCAGGAUUCAUUGUGAUGAAAAUGCCACAGUACGGAUCGAGGCGCACGCGGUGGCCUUCAAACAGAAACUUGAAGUUUUGGAAACUGUCCCAGUGAGGCGGGACUUCCCUACGAAGGACAGCGCCAACGAGAAGACGCGCAUGCUGAAUGACGGAGAUCUGCUGCGCAACGACAGACAAAACUUCAAUUUCGAUGCGGUUGAACUCAUCGAAACAGCCCCAUGUGCCGGACUGCGCCAAGCCGCUGAAAAUCCUGCCGAGGGAAAUGUAGUCCAGGGCGUCGGAGCAAUUGAAGACAAGGACCAGUUUCGCAACGCCUUUCCCCAAAUCUCUAACUGUUUCUGUUUUUCCUGCAGAUUGAGAGGGCGCGACCGCACAAACGAAACACUGGUGAUGUCGUUGAGGGUCCUCUCACAUGUGGCGGCACAGACACUCCGCGGGAGGCCAGGCGAUCGACUGUGCUUCCUUUUCGCUUCCUCUCAUUUCUCUGAAGAACGCGCCAUUUCCAAAUGGCCCAGGGCAAAGCUACCCUUAAGGCCUGCUCUUAGUCAACUCAAAC